UACGUAGGGUGCAAGCGUUGUCCGGAAUUAUUGGGCGUAAAGAGCUCGUAGGUGGCUUGUCACGUCUGCUGUGAAAACUCGGGGCUCAACCCCGAGCCUGCAGUGGAUACGGGCUAGCUAGAGUGCGGUAGGGGAGACUGGAAUUCCUGGUGUAGCGGUGAAAUGCGCAGAUAUCAGGAGGAACACCCGUGGCGAAGGCGGCUCUUCGUGGGUACGGUACUGACGCUGAGACGCGAAAGCGUGGGGAGCGAACAGG
rnacentral:rRNA from 1 species